rnacentral:tRNA from 3 species
UCUGAAAUUAUUUCAAUAUUGAACCUUGGACAUAUAAGAGUUCCGAAUCGAAUCUCUUUAGAAAGAAGAUUU